GAUUUUUCAUGCUAAAAAUAUACGAUUUAUUAAAAAACCGAAUGCACAUCUCAUAUGCAGAAUGUCACAUCUCUAAUAACCAAUAAAAAAGUAGAAGAUGUACGGUUUGUUUACGAAUUUGAAUACAUUACACAAAAUUUUAAAUCAUUUUUUUUAAUACUUAGACGCAAUUCUGGCAGAAAAAAUCACUUGGAGGUGUUCCAAUCAAGGUUGUUCUGAACAUAAUAUUAUAAUACUUUCAAACAUAUACCAGGACAAAGCUACCACCAGCUGCAUCAUUGAAGAUGUCAAUAUUAAGUCAUCCAUAUCAGUUGCCUGUGGCUCAGCAUCUACUUCUGCAGUAACCACUCAACAGAAUAUUAAGCACAACAUGAAAAUAUCCUCAAAAAGGCAUUCAGAAUAUGCUGCUAUAAUGCUGGACCAUGGUUAAUGCAAGAAAAGAUCUUCAAAAGCUUCGGAAAGAACGGCGUCCUCCAAAUUGACAGUAAAUAGGUAUAGCGUUUACCAAAAACAAAUUACACUAGUAAUAAAAAAACACUACUUUUGAAAAAGUAGUUAGAGUAGUAUGACAUCACAAGCCAAAUUGUUUACUGUCAUGCAGAUGCAAACGGCGAAAAAACAAAAGGCUCGUCGUUUUUGUUUGAAAGAAAAAGUAUUGUCCUUGUCUUUGUGUGUUAUGCCCAAGUGUUAUGCCUUGAUGGCAAAAUAUUUUACAUUACCAUCAGCAAAAUGUUUAAAAAGAUUAAUUUCUGAAAUAAAAGUAAAGCCAGGCAUCAAUAAAGUCAUUAUGAAAAAUUGAAAAAAGUUAAGCGAAGAUAAACUGUGCACGUUAAUCUUUGACGAGAUGUCACUUACGCCGCAAGUGCAUUACAAUGCAGCAACCGACAAAUUAAAAGGAUUCACAACUCACGACAAACAAGUAUUUGCAAGCUAUGCAUUGGUUUUCAUGGUGAAGGGCAUUAAAAAAGGUACGAACAACCUGUCGCUUUUUAUUUCACCAGUAACCUGAACAAAAAUGAAUUGAAAGUAAUAAUACAGGAAGUUAUCAAAAUGUGCAAGCAACUGGCUUGACUGUUUUAUGUCAGUACAUAUGUGUGACCAGAGCACAUUAAAUGUGAGUGUCAUUAAUGAGCUCAUGGCCGAUACAAGAGUAAAUUAUCUUAGAAAAGGAAAGGAGACCAAAGGUAACUUCUUUGAAGUGAACAAACGAAAAAUUAUUCCCAUUCAUGAUGUUCCACAUUUAUUAAAAGGG